UUUUAUUACUUUUUAUUUUAUUUGAUGAGUUCUCCUAUGAUAGCUAAUCAAUUCUCUAUAAAGAUCUCACUUUUAACGUAUGAUGUAAAUAAUUUAUACAUUUCUAAAGACUUAUGUUUUAAAUUCAGAUUUCUAUAUCCCGAGAUAGUGGGAGUAAAAAAUACACCUGGUCAACACAGCGAGACGAGAAAUGGCUGAAUUACUAUCGGGUCGUUGGAAGCAUCAUGAACUUGAGGUCAGGAUGAGAAAAUCCUUUUCCUUGGACCCAAAAGAGAUCCAAGGUGGUGCUAAUGGAGCCGACUUUGUUGUUCACUUUACUCGAGUCUUCACAAAAAGGACAAGGUUGUUGUGCACUUAAAGUUCUGAUUAGUUUUUCGCAUUCUAUAUUGUUGUUUGAAAUUCAUUUAUGUUUAGUUACUAUGAAUGGUGACGAUGGGCCGGUUCUUUAAAAACCUAUAUUAACAAAAAUAUUAGUUUUAUAUAU